rnacentral:rRNA from 1 species
AGAGUUUGAUCAUGGCUCAGAUUGAACGCUGGCGGCAUGCCUUACACAUGCAAGUCGAACGGCAGCACGAGAGCUUGCUCUUGGUGGCGAGUGGCGAACGGGUGAGUAAUAUAUCGGAACGUACCCUAGAGUGGGGGAUAACGUAGCGAAAGUUACGCUAAUACCGCAUACGAUCUACGGAUGAAAGUGGGGGAUCGCAAGACCUCAUGCUCAUGGAGCGGCCGAUAUCUGAUUAGCUAGUUGGUGGGGUGAAAGCUCACCAAGGCGACGAUCAGUAGCUGGUCUGAGAGGACGACCAGCCACACUGGAACUGAGACACGGUCCAGACUCCUACGGGAGGCAGCAGUGGGGAAUUUUGGACAAUGGGCGCAAGCCUGAUCCAGCAAUGCCGCGUGAGUGAAGAAGGCCUUCGGGUUGUAAAGCUCUUUUGUCAGGGAAGAAACGGUGGACUCUAAUACAGAUCACUAAUGACGGUACCUGAAGAAUAAGCACCGGCUAACUACGUGCCAGCAGCCGCGGUAAUACGUAGGGUGCAAGCGUUAAUCGGAAUUACUGGGCGUAAAGCGUGCUCAGGCGGUUGUGCAAGACAGAUGUGAAAUCCCCGGGCUCAACCUGGGAAUUGCAUUUGUGACUGCACGGCUAGAGUGUGUCAGAGGGGGGUAGAAUUCCACGUGUAGCAGUGAAAUGCGUAGAGAUGUGGAGGAAUACCGAUGGCGAAGGCAGCCCCCUGGGAUAACACUGACGCUCAUGCACGAAAGCGUGGGGAGCAAACAGGAUUAGAUACCCUGGUAGUCCACGCCCUAAACGAUGUCUACUAGUUGUCGGGUCUUAAUUGACUUGGUAACGCAGCUAACGCGUGAAGUAGACCGCCUGGGGAGUACGGUCGCAAGAUUAAAACUCAAAGGAAUUGACGGGGACCCGCACAAGCGGUGGAUGAUGUGGAUUAAUUCGAUGCAACGCGAAAAACCUUACCUACCCUUGACAUGUCUGGAAUCCUUGAGAGAUCAGGGAGUGCUCGAAAGAGAAUCAGAACACAGGUGCUGCAUGGCUGUCGUCAGCUCGUGUCGUGAGAUGUUGGGUUAAGUCCCGCAACGAGCGCAACCCUUGUCAUUAGUUGCUACGAAAGGGCACUCUAAUGAGACUGCCGGUGACAAACCGGAGGAAGGUGGGGAUGGCGUCAAGUCCUCAUGGCCCUUAUGGGUAGGGCUUCACACGUCAUACAAUGGUACAUACAGAGGGCCGCCAACCCGCGAGGGGGAGCUAAUCCCAGAAAGUGUAUCGUAGUCCGGAUUGUAGUCUGCAACUCGACUACAUGAAGUUGGAAUCGCUAGUAAUCGCGGAUCAGCAUGUCGCGGUGAAUACGUUCCCGGGUCUUGUACACACCGCCCGUCACACCAUGGGAGCGGGUUUCACCAGAAGUGGGUAGCCUAACCGCAAGGAGGGCGCUCACCACGGUGGGAUUCGUGACUGGGGUGAAGUCGUAACAAGGUA